GAUGAACGCUGGCGGCGUGCCUAAUACAUGCAAGUCGAGCGAACAGACGAGGAGCUUGCUCCUCUGACGUUAGCGGCGGACGGGUGAGUAACACGUGGUUAACCUACCUAUAAGACUGGGAUAACUUCGGGAAACCGGAGCUAAUACCGGAUAGUAUAUUGAACCGCAUGGUUCAAUAGUGAAAGACGGUUUUGCUGUCACUUAUAGAUGGAUCCGCGCCGCAUUAGCUAGUUGGUAAGGUAACGGCUUACCAAGGCAACGAUGCGUAGCCGACCUGAGAGGGUGAUCGGCCACACUGGAACUGAGACACGGUCCAGACUCCUACGGGAGGCAGCAGUAGGGAAUCUUCCGCAAUGGGCGAAAGCCUGACGGAGCAACGCCGCGUGAGUGAUGAAGGUCUUCGGAUCGUAAAACUCUGUUAUUAGGGAAGAACAAAUGUGUAAGUAACUAUGCACGUCUUGACGGUACCUAAUCAGAAAGCCACGGCUAACUACGUG
rnacentral:rRNA from 1 species